ACGGAAGGCAGCAGUGGGGAAUAUUGCACAAUGGGGGAAACCCUGAUGCAGCGACGCCGCGUGAAGGAUGAAGUAUUUCGGUAUGUAAACUUCUAUCAGCAAGGAAGAUAAUGACGGUACUUGACUAAGAAGCCCCGGCUAACUACGUGCCAGCAGCCGCGGUAAUACGUAGGGGGCAAGCGUUAUCCGGAUUUACUGGGUGUAAAGGGAGCGUAGACGGCAAGGCAAGUCAGAUGUGAAAGCCCGGGGCUCAACCCCGGGACUGCAUUUGAAACUGUCUAGCUAGAGUGUCGGAGAGGUAAGUGGAAUUCCUAGUGUAGCGGUGAAAUGCGUAGAUAUUAGGAGGAACACCAGUGGCGAAGGCGGCUUACUGGACGAUCACUGACGUUGAGGCUCGAAAGCGUGGGGAGCAAACAGGAUUAGAUACCCUGGUA
rnacentral:rRNA from 1 species